CCCUUCCUUUAAAAAGCACCUCACUUGGAACUAAAACCAUGAUCACUUCAGAUUUCAUGGCCUAGCCAUUGAUCUGUUGUGAUCACUGGAGUAGUUAGGACAGUGAUGGUUGUCAAAGGAAGGAGAGAGAGGCAAUGUUAAUGGGUGAGACAGGAGAGGACCUCUUUCUUAAUGUCCACUGUUCUUGGUUCUCAAUCCACAUUGCAACACU